AGGGGCAGGGGCCGGGCCGGGACUCACUUCUGGUUGGUGAGGUAGCGGUCCCAGCCGCGGAUGAUGUUGCCGUACAUCUGCGUGUCCUCCAGCUCCUUGAAUCCCAUCAUUCUGGAGGAAAACAGGCUGCUUAUAAAACCAAUUAGUAAAAAUGGUACAGCAAAAAUCAAGAGCAUGGAUGUGCUAUUAUAACAUACUCAGCCCAAGGACUGAACAGGACUUGAGCCUGAAACCAGCCGAGGCCAUUUCCUAGCAAGGUGUGAAAGGGUCACAAGUGGCAACCCAGCAGGGUCAUGUAAAAAAACUGAA